rnacentral:rRNA from 1 species
GACGAACGCUGGCGGCGUGCUUAACACAUGCAAGUCGAACGGAAAGGCCUUUUCGGAGUACUCGAGUGGCGAACGGGUGAGUAACACGUGGGUGAUCUGCCCUGCACUCUGGGAUAAGCCUGGGAAACUGGGUCUAAUACCGGAUAGGACCGCACUUUAGUGUGUGUGGUGGAAAGUUUUUUCGGUGUAGGAUGAGCCCGCGGCCUAUCAGCUUGUUGGUGGGGUAAUGGCCUACCAAGGCGGCGACGGGUAGCCGGACUGAGAGGUUGGUCGGCCACAUUGGGACUGAGAUACGGCCCAGACUCCUACGGGAGGCAGCAGUGGGGAAUAUUGCACAAUGGGCGCAAGCCUGAUGCAGCGACGCCGCGUGGGGGAUGACGGCCUUCGGGUUGUAAACUCCUUUCGCCAGGGACGAAGCGUUUUGUGACGGUACCUGGAGAAGAAGCACCGGCUAACUACGUG